rnacentral:rRNA from 1 species
GACGAACGCUGGCAGCGUGCUUAACACAUGCAAGUCGAACGGAAAGGCCCUGCUUUUGCGGGGUGCUCGAGUGGCGAACGGGUGAGUAACACGUGAGUAACCUGCCCUUGACUUUGGGAUAACUUCAGGAAACUGGGGCUAAUACCGGAUAGGAGCUCCUGCUGCAUGGUGGGGGUUGGAAAGUUUCGGCGGUUGGGGAUGGACUCGCGGCUUAUCAGCUUGUUGGUGGGGUAGUGGCUUACCAAGGCUUUGACGGGUAGCCGGCCUGAGAGGGUGACCGGCCACAUUGGGACUGAGAUACGGCCCAGACUCCUACGGGAGGCAGCAGUGGGGAGUAUUGCACAAUGGGCGGAAGCCUGAUGCAGCAACGCCGCGUGCGGGAUGACGGCCUUCGGGUUGUAAACCGCUUUCGCCUGUGACGAAGCGUGAGUGACGGUAAUGGGUAAAGAAGCACCGGCUAACUACGUG